rnacentral:lncRNA from 1 species
GCACUUCCGGCGUGCAGAGCUGCCUGCAGUCGACUGUUUGAAGCUUCGCAGUGUUCCCGGGCGAGAUGCAUCCUCAUCUUCAGUUCGGCGCCCAGUUGACCUUGGGGACGACUAUUAGGACCAGGUAGCUUGCUCUGGGCCCUAGCACGCAGAGCUCUGGAUUCCCAAAGCCUCAGGACCUAACUGAUAUCAGGCACUAUGCUCAUUCUACAAAGAGAUCAUGUUUGCAGAGUACUGACCACCAUCCAGGAAGAGAAGCUUUGUUUCUGAUGAGAACCUACUUCUGACCUACUGAAAGCUACAACUGCAAACAUAUGCACUGAGUGUCAUUAACACUGUUUCUUGAGGGGGAGUACGGUUCUGAGUGAAUCUGAAUGUGGGAAAUGAGGGAGAGAUGAUAUCUGAAAACCUCUGUAAGUUGCCUCAUGCUGCCUAAUAAAGAAUGAAUAAAGUAAGGAA